GAUGAACGCUAGCGAUAGGCUUAACACAUGCAAGUCGAGGGGCAGCAUGAUCUUAGCUUGCUAAGGUCGAUGGCGACCGGCGCACGGGUGCGUAACGCGUAUGCAACUUGCCUUACAGAGGGGGAUAACCCGUUGAAAGACGGACUAAAACCGCAUACACUUGUAUUAUUGCAUGAUAUUACAAGGAAAUAUUUAUAGCUGUAAGAUAGGCAUGCGUCCCAUUAGCUGGUUGGUGAGGUAACGGCUCACCAAGGCGACGAUGGGUAGGGGAACUGAGAGGUUUAUCCCCCACACUGGUACUGAGACACGGACCAGACUCCUACGGGAGGCAGCAGUGAGGAAUAUUGGUCAAUGGGCGAUAGCCUGAACCAGCCAAGUCGCGUGAAGGAAGACAGUCCUAAGGAUUGUAAACUUCUUUUACACGGGAAUAACGGGCGAUACGAGUAUUGCAUUGAAUGUACCGUAAGAAUAAGCGUCGGCUAACUCCGUGCCAGCAGCCGCGGUAAUACGGAGGAUGCGAGCGUUAUCCGGAUUUAUUGGGUUUAAAGGGUGCGUAGGUUGUUCGGUAAGUCAGCGGUGAAACCUGAGCGCUCAACGUUCAGCCUGCCGUUGAAACUGCCGGGCUUGAGUUCAGUGGCGGCAGGCGGAAUUCGUGGUGUAGCGGUGAAAUGCAUAGAUAUCACGAGGAACUCCGAUUGCGAAGGCAGCUUGCCAUACUGCGACUGACACUGAAGCACGAAGGCGUGGGUAUCAAACAGGAUUAGAUACCCUGGUAGUCCACGCAGUAAACGAUGAUUACUAGGAGUUUGCGAUAUACCGUCAAGCUUCCACAGCGAAAGCGUUAAGUAAUCCACCUGGGGAGUACGCCGGCAACGGUGAAACUCAAAGGAAUUGACGGGGGCCCGCACAAGCGGAGGAACAUGUGGUUUAAUUCGAUGAUACGCGAGGAACCUUACCCGGGAUUGAAUUGUAGAUGACGGAUGGUGAAAACCG
rnacentral:rRNA from 1 species